UACGUAGGGUGCGAGCGUUAAUCGGAAUUACUGGGCGUAAAGCGUGCGCAGGCGGUUCUGUAAGUCAGAUGUGAAAUCCCCGGGCUCAACCUGGGAACUGCGUUUGAAACUACAGGGCUAGAGUAUGGGAGAGGGAGGUAGAAUUCCACGUGUAGCAGUGAAAUGCGUAGAGAUGUGGAGGAAUACCAAUGGCGAAGGCAGCUCGCUGGGACGGUACUGACGCUGAGGCGCGAAAGCGUGGGGAGCGAACAGG
rnacentral:rRNA from 1 species